UGGCUAAACGGUAAAGCGCUUGGCUUUCGAAUCAGAGGUCCCGGGUUCGAAUCCUGG
rnacentral:tRNA from 1 species